rnacentral:rRNA from 1 species
GCAAGAUUAAAACUCAAAGGAAUAGACGGGGACCCGCACAAGCGGUGGAGCAUGUGGUUUAAUUCGACGAUACGCGAAGAACCUUACCUGGCCUUGACAUAGAAAGAACUUUCCAGAGACGGAUUGGUGCUAGUUUACUAGAGCUUUCAUACAGGUGCUGCACGGCUGUCGUCAGCUCGUGUCGUGAGAUGUUGGGUUAAGUCCCGCAACGAGCGCAACCCUCGUGUUUAGUUACUAACAGUUCGGCUGAGGACUCUAAACAGACUGCCUGGGUAACCAGGAGGAAGGUGAGGACGACGUCAAGUCAUCAUGGCCCUUACGGCCAGGGCUACACACGUGCUACAAUGGGGUAUACAAAGAGCUGCAAUACGGUGACGUGGAGCAAAUCUCAUAAAAUAUCUCCCAGUUCGGAUUGAAGUCUGCAACUCGACUUCAUGAAGUUGGAAUCGCUAGUAAUCGUAGAUCAGCAAUGCUACGGUGAAUAUGUUCCCGGGUCUUGUACUCACCGCCCGUCACACCAUGGGAAUUGAAUUCAUUCGAAGCGGGGAUGCUAAAAUAGCUACCUUCCACAGUGGAUUUAGUAACUAGGGUGAAGUCGUAACAAGGUA